AAGACCCCUCCCAACCCUGGACACUGGAUAAGCCCAUCACACCCAUAACCCACCUGAAGCCAUUCCACAGCCCUGUGGCCUCUUCCUACGCCCCUCGCUCUGUCACCAAGUCAGCUGCCCUGGGCUCUGGACCCUCGCACAGGGCAAGCUCCUCGAGAGCGGGAACAAGGCCAUUUGAGUGACCGUCUAUUCCUCGAGCCUGGCAUGCAGUGUCUGCUGAAUCAAUGGAGGACCAGGUCUGGGGACCUGCAGACCCGGAUAAGAGCUGGCAGGACAAACCCCGGACCUCACACCCAGCGAUGGCGGGAGCUCACGGCCCCAGCCCACCCUGCAGCACCCCGUGCACAUGCUCCCGUCUGGCCGCGAGCCCCUGGCCUGGGCUGG